rnacentral:rRNA from 1 species
GAUCAUGGCUCAGGAUGAACGCUAGCUACAGGCUUAACACAUGCAAGUCGAGGGGCAGCAUGACGAUAGCUUGCUAUGUGAUGGCGACCGGCGCACGGGUGAGUAACGCGUAUCCAACCUUCCCUAUAGUAGAGGAUAGCCCGGCGAAAGUCGGAUUAAUACUCUAUGUUUUCCAAUGCAGACAUCUAAAAUGGAACAAAGGUUUACCGCUAUAGGAUGGGGAUGCGUCUGAUUAGGUUGUUGGCGGGGUAACGGCCCACCAAGCCUACGAUCAGUAGGGGUUCUGAGAGGAAGGUCCCCCACAUUGGAACUGAGACACGGUCCAAACUCCUACGGGAGGCAGCAGUGAGGAAUAUUGGUCAAUGGGCGAGAGCCUGAACCAGCCAAGUAGCGUGCAGGAUGACGGCCCUAUGGGUUGUAAACUGCUUUUAUAUAGGGAUAAAGUGACCCACGUGUGGGUUUUUGUAGGUACUGUAUGAAUAAGGACCGGCUAAUUCCGUGCCAGCAGCCGC